rfam:Arthrobotrys oligospora ATCC 24927 unplaced genomic scaffold scaffold00215, whole genome shotgun sequence.
GCUCGUAUAGCUCAGCGGUAGAGCGUCUCACUCGUAUCGAUCCGUCGAUUGGGUGUUGAUGAGAAGGUCCUAGGUUCAAGUCCUAGUUCGAGCA